UCUUUGCAGAUCUUCUCCAAGUCAUUAAGGUUUCGAGGCUGACGUUUGGCAACUCGAACCUUCAGCUCCCUCCACAGAUUUUCUGUGGGAUUAAGGUCUGGAGACUGGCUAGGCCACUCCAGGACCUUAAUGUGCUUCUUCUUGAGCCACUCCUUUGUUGCCUUGGCCGUGUGUUUUGGGUCAUUGGCCAUUUACCCAUACACAAUCCAUGUAUCAAGGCUUGAAAAUCCUUCUUUAACUUGUCUCCUCACUUUCAUCUACACUGAUUUGAAGUGGAUUUAACAGGUGAAACAUCAAUAAGGGAUCAUAGCGCUCACCUGGAUUCACCUGGUCAGUCUGUCAUGGAAAUAAUCUAAUCCUAAUGUCUUGUCAGCUCAGUGAGCACAUGUGUGCUGAGGUGCAGAGAAUCAGAGCAGGAGGUCAGUCCUGUUAGAAUCAGAGCAGGAGGUCAGUCCUGUUGGAAUCAGAGCAGGAGGUCAGUCCUGUUAGAAUCAGAGCAGGAGGUCAGUCCUGUU
rnacentral:lncRNA from 1 species